CAAAUACAGACAGCCUAUACAGUAGGCUAAUACAGUGCCCACCUCAGCAAAAGGUAAAAUGUAAAAAGAAGAUAUAAGCUACAUUUAAAAUACAGAUGCUGUAGCCUACAUAAAAAUACAGAUGCCACAUGAAAUAUGAAAAUAGGAUGCACUGUAUAAAUAUGCAAAACUAGGAUAUAACUAGGCUAUAAUGAGAAUACUUGGUUAACUUACAUCUGUGCAAUGACUAUCCUCCUAAAUUAAAUUAGUUAGAUGGAAAGAUUUUUGUCUAUGGAAUGAUCCUGUCACUUUACUGCCACACAUUGUGUGUGUCAGUAAAGUGAUGAGGUAGGAGAAUCCGUGUAUGGAUUGUUUUUUGGUUUUUCAGAUUUGGUUUUGAAACUGAAAAAGGGCAAAAGGAAUAAACAAAUAAACGGCAUUUGAUUUUG